rnacentral:rRNA from 1 species
AUACGGAGGGUGCGAGCGUUAAUCGGAAUUACUGGGCGUAAAGCGCGCGUAGGCGGUUUGGUCAGUCGGAUGUGAAAGCCCCAGGCUCAACCUGGGAAUGGCAUUCGAUACUGCCUGACUAGAGUAUGGUAGAGGGAAGUGGAAUUUCCGGUGUAGCGGUGAAAUGCGUAGAUAUCGGAAGGAACACCAGUGGCGAAGGCGACUUCCUGGGCCAAUACUGACGCUAAGGUGCGAAAGCGUGGGGAGCAAACAGGAUUAGAUACCCCGGUAGUCC